rnacentral:rRNA from 1 species
AUACGGGAGGCAGCAGUGGGGAAUUUUGGACAAUGGGCGCAAGCCUGAUCCAGCCAUUCCGCGUGAGUGAAGAAGGCCUUCGGGUUGUAAAGCUCUUUCGCAAGGGAAGAAACGAUUUAGGUGAAUAAUCUAAGUUAAUGACGGUACCUUGAUAAGAAGCACCGGCUAACUACGUGCCAGCAGCCGCGGUAAUACGUAGGGUGCGAGCGUUAAUCGGAAUUACUGGGCGUAAAGCGUGCGCAGGCUGUUUUGUAAGUCAGAUGUGAAAUCCCUGGGCUCAACCUAGGAACUGCGUUUGAAACUACAAGACUAGAAUAUGUCAGAGGGGGGUAGAAUUCCACGUGUAGCAGUGAAAUGCGUAGAGAUGUGGAGGAAUAUCAAUGGCGAAGGCAGCCCCCUGGGAUAAUAUUGACGCUCAUGCACGAAAGCGUGGGGAGCAAACAGGAUUAGAUACCCCGGUAGG